UAGGGAUAUCUGAAGCGUAGCAGUACUCAGCCACAGUCCUAACUUUGAGCCAACAUCACAGUAAUCUCAAGACUUCCUCUGUUGAAACUACGACAUAAAGCAUGAAGACGUUUGCAGCUCUAGUGAUGGUCCUGACUGUAGCACUGCUGGCCCAAGUUGGACAUGGAUGGCGACGGCGCCGUGCGGGUCUUAAGAGGCUGGAGGGCUUGGAGGAAUUCGGCGAGGAAAUAAAGGAAGACGUUAAGAAAGUCGAGGAGGAGGCAACCUGGGAACUGGCGAUGGAGGAGUUGGAGAGUCUGGCCGAGAGACUGAAGGAAGAAGCUGAAGCUAAACUUCAUGAUGAUGCAGUUGCCUUUGCAGAUGAUGAAUGAUGGAGGUCUGAUGAACAGGAAACCGGUGGAGGUCUGAUGAUGGCGGGAAAAAAAGCAGCCUGCCUAUCUUUUGUAUGCACAUACGCAUAAUGUAGAUUACACUAAUGCAUUACACGCGUACUGAUUGCGAGGCCUACUUACGGCAACUUUACUCCAUAAAAUGCUAUUCGGUAUUUGCAUCGCUAUCAUAGUGUCCAUUAUGUACUAGUUGGCGUUACCUAAACAUGAUCUGUCUAAAGGUUAUGGGCUACGGUUUACAUGUGGCUCUCUUGGAACAUUUCGACUACAUAAUAUACAGUUUUAUUUACCUAUGUAAUUAGUUACGAGUAUCACUGCUACUUUAUACUAGCACACAAUGCAUUAUGCAUUUACGCAAAGUUAUGAAUUAGAAGUUUGGAAUAUUUCUGUGAGCUUGAUACAGUUUAGAUAUUGCUUGAUACAAUUUAAAUAUUUCUUUUGCUUCACGUGUCAUCUUUGAUGGACUGAAAUUAAAGAUAUUGAUCUGUUAAGAGUUUGGCAUGAUACCAUGACUGUAAGAUGUAGUGCUAGCAACCACGACGCAGUAUAUAUAAGUUAUUAAUAACCUGUCGAAGUUUAUGAAUACUUCCAUAUUGAUAAUCGUGAAUAUUCAUUAUGCAACCGACAUGUUAGACAGGCCAAUUAGCUCUAUUGAUGAUGAUAAUCAGCUGACCAGGUUGAGUAAACCAACUAACAAACCACGGCUAUAUCAAUGCAUCGGCAAAUGGCUUUAAACGUAAUCAGCAAGCCUAAUAAGGCAAAAGUUGAAUUGACCCUCCGAUAAAAGUCGUUCGACCACUUUGGUAAAUCAUUAUCGCCUUGCAGCAAGGCCAGGCGUGAUAAUCACAGUAGUACACAACCUUACCCAUAUAAGUCUUUGUGGUGGCCAGGAUCUAUACAGUGUAGCAGUUCCGAUCCACAGUUCUAACUUUGGGUCAAGAUCAGAUAUAUACGAAUCUCAACUCUUCCUCAGUUGUACCUACAAGAAUGAAGAAGCUUACAACUUUAGUGGUGGUCCUUGCUGUCGCCCUGCUGGCUGAAGUUGGACAUGGCUUAUUUUGGUCCAGUCGACGGCGACGACGUUUGGGGAAGAGAAUAGGGGUCCUUGAGAAAUCUAAAGAAGACGUUAAGAAGGUCGAGGAGGAAGCAACCUGGAAACUCGCGAUGGGGGAGUUGGAGAGUCUGGCCGAAAGACUGAAGGAAGAAGCUGAAGUUGAACCUCAAGAUGAUCCAGGGUCAUUCCAAAAGAAAGAAGAGCCUGGGCUACAGUUUUAUUACAAAAAUGCCGGGAUUGGGGAGAAUGGGGAAGGUCUGGAGAUGGAGGAGGUGAACGGAAGAGGGAUUGAGAGGGAGGAGGAGAACGGAAGAGGGAUUGAGAAGGAGGAGGAGAACGG